rnacentral:ncRNA from 1 species
ACAGGGGCGCCGAAAGGCUGAGAUGUUUUAUGCAGUCCCUUAUGACCUGAACUAGGUAAUGCUAGCGUAGGGAGUCUGAAAGUAU